rnacentral:snRNA from 1 species
AUACCUUUCUCGGCCUUUUGGCUAAGAUCAAGUGUAGUAUCUGUUCUUAUCAGUUUAAUAUCUGAUAUGUGAGUCAACGACUCACACGAUAUUAACUCAUUUUUUUAAGGGGAAGGUCCAUCAUGAUAGCUUGCUAUUAGGGCUUUCAAGCGUCGCCUUAGUGUUGCACUACUGUCUUGGCUUGGCGCACCCCAC